GACGAACGCUGGCGGCGUGCUUAACACAUGCAAGUCGAACGGAAAGGCCCUGCUUUUGUGGGGUGCUCGAGUGGCGAACGGGUGAGUAACACGUGAGUAACCUGCCCUUGACUUUGGGAUAACUUCAGGAAACUGGGGCUAAUACCGGAUAGGAGCUCCUGCUGCAUGGUGGGGGUUGGAAAGUUUCGGCGGUUGGGGAUGGACUCGCGGCUUAUCAGCUUGUUGGUGGGGUAGUGGCUGCCCAAGGCUUUGGCGGGUAGCCGGCCUGAGAGGGUGACCGGCGACCUGGGGCCUACGGGAGGCCGCAGUACGGAAGGGGACGCAAUGGGGGGAAGUCUGACGGAGCGGCGGCGCGUUUGGGAGGAAGGCCCCGGGAGCGGAAAGACGUGUUAGGGGUGAAAACCCAAUUUGUCUGGAACUAAGGAGGGCGUGACGUUAAUGAAUAAAAAAGCCCCGGCUAACUACGUG
rnacentral:rRNA from 1 species